rnacentral:rRNA from 1 species
GCUAGCGGCAGGCUUAAUACAUGCAAGUCGAGGGGCAGCGCGGGUAGCAAUACUUGGCGGCGACCGGCAAACGGGUGCGGAACACGUACGCAACCUCCCCGGAACAGGUGAAUAGCCUUGCGAAAGUAAGAUUAAUACACCGUACCAUAUAGAUGCGGCAUCGCAACUAUAUUAUAGGUAGCAAUACCGGUUCCGGAUGGGCGUGCGCCUGAUUAGGUAGUUGGUGCGGGUAACGGCCCACCAAGCCUUCGAUCAGUAACUGGUGUGAGAGCACGACCAGUCACACGGGCACUGAGACACGGGCCCGACUCCUACGGGAGGCAGCAGUAAGGAAUAUUGGUCAAUGGACGCAAGUCUGAACCAGCCAUGCCGCGUGGAGGAUGACGGCCCUCUGGGUUGUAAACUCCUUUUAUCUGGGACGAAAAACGGACUUUCUAGUUCACUUGACGGUACCAGAGGAAUAAGCACCGGCUAACUCCGUGCCAGCAGCCGCGGUAAUACGGAGGGUGCAAGCGUUAUCCGGAUUUACUGGGUUUAAAG